AUUGAACGCUGGCGGCAGGCCUAACACAUGCAAGUCGAGCGGAUGAAGGGAGCUUGCUCCUGGAUUCAGCGGCGGACGGGUGAGUAAUGCCUAGGAAUCUGCCUGGUAGUGGGGGAUAACGUCCGGAAACGGGCGCUAAUACCGCAUACGUCCUGAGGGAGAAAGUGGGGGAUCUGCGGACCUCACGCUAUCAGAUGAGCCUAGGUCGGAUUAGCUAGUUGGUGGGGUAAAGGCCUACCAAGGCGACGAUCCGUAACUGGUCUGAGAGGAUGAUCAGUCACACUGGAACUGAGACACGGUCCAGACUCCUACGGGAGGCAGCAGUGGGGAAUAUUGGACAAUGGGCGAAAGCCUGAUCCAGCCAUGCCGCGUGUGUGAAGAAGGUCUUCGGAUUGUAAAGCCCUUUAGGUUGGGAGGAAAGGCAGUAAGUUAAUACCUUGCUGUUUUGACGUUACCCACAGAAUAAGCACCGGCUAACUUCGUG
rnacentral:rRNA from 1 species